UACAGAGGGGGCAAGCGUUGUUCGGAAUUACUGGGCGUAAAGGGCGCGUAGGCGGCCUGUUAAGUCGAACGUGAAAUCCCUGGGCUUAACCCAGGAACUGCGUCCGAUACUGACAGGCUUGAAUCCGGGAGAGGGAUGCGGAAUUCCAGGUGUAGCGGUGAAAUGCGUAGAUAUCUGGAGGAACACCGGUGGCGAAGGCGGCAUCCUGGACCGGCAUUGACGCUGAGGCGCGAAAGCUAGGGUAGCAAACGGG
rnacentral:rRNA from 1 species